rnacentral:tmRNA from 1 species
GGGGGCGACCUGGCUUCGACGGGGGUUGCAAAGCAGAUGGGGGCAUGCCGGGAUCUCAGAUCUCCCGUUAAACACUGAAUAUAUAUAGUCGCCAACGACGAAACUUACGCUCUAGCUGCUUAAUCCAGCUGGACUCUGCACUAAUUUGACGAUGGGUUAGGCGGGCAACCGCAGCAGAGUCAUUUAACAUCGUAUCGCGCAAGAUCGGGCCACUUGGUCAAGCGCUAAACUUAAGGUGGCUCGUCAAGGUAAAGCCUGUCGGCCGGCGUUGCUGCGAUUAAAUCCAAAAGACUGCUCUAAGCAUGUAGAACCCACUGUAGAGGACUUUCGGACGCGGGUUCGAUUCCCGCCGCCUCCACCA